UUGUAUAAAUAAAAGAUCUGGCCUGCCCAAUGAUUAUUUUAAUGGCUGCAGUAUAUUGACUGUACAAAGGUAGCAUAAUCACUUGUCCUUUAAUUGGGGUCUGGAAUGAAUGGUUGGAUGAAAAAUAGACUUUCUUUAUUUUAUAAUUAAAAUUUAAUUUUUAAGUUAAAAAGCUUAAAUGAUAAUAUAGGACGAGAAGACCCUAUAGAGCUUUAUUCUUUUAAAGUCAAUUAAUUAUUUGUGAAUAAUUUUUUAUUGGUUUUUUGGGAAUUUUGUUGGGGUGAUGGAAAAAAUUUAAUAACUUUUUUUUAAUAUGUUAUUUGUGUAUAAAUUUUUGAUCCUUUAUUAAGGAUAAUAAGAUUAAGCUACCUUAGGGAUAACAGCGUUAUUGUUUUAGAGAGUUCAUAUUGAUAAAACAGUUUGCGACCUCGAUGUUGGAUUAAAAUUAGUUUCAGGAGCAGAAUAUUGAUUUACUAGGUCUGUUCGACCUUUAAAUUUU
rnacentral:rRNA from 1 species